rnacentral:rRNA from 1 species
CAGUAGCCGCGGGAAUACGUAGGGUGCAAGCGUUAAUCGGAAUUACUGGGCGUAAAGCGUGCGCAGGCGGUUUGUUAAGACAGAUGUGAAAUGCCCGGGCUCAGCCUGGGAACUGCAUUUGUGACUGGCAAGCUAGAGUCUGGCAGAGGGGGGUGGAAUUCCGCGUGUAGCAGUGAAAUGCGUAGAUAUGCGGAGGAACACCGAUGGCGAAGGCAGCCCCCUGGGCCAACACUGACGCUCAUGCACGAAAGCGUGGGGAGCAAACAGGAUUAGAUACCCGCGUAGUCCCUGUCUCUUAUAC